AUUGAACGCUGGCGGCAGGCCUAACACAUGCAAGUCGAGCGGAUGAAGGGAGCUUGCUCCUGGAUUCAGCGGCGGACGGGUGAGUAAUGCCUAGGAAUCUGCCUGGUAGUGGGGGAUAACGUCCGGAAACGGGCGCUAAUACCGAAUACGUCCUGAGGGAGAAAGCGGGGGAUCUUCGGACCUCACGCUAUCAGAUGAGCCUAGGUCGGAUUAGCUAGUUGGUGGGGUAAAGGCCUACCAAGGCGACGAUCCGUAACUGGUCUGAGAGGAUGAUCAGUCACACUGGAACUGAGACACGGUCCAGACUCCUACGGGAGGCAGCAGUGGGGAAUAUUGGACAAUGGGCGAAAGCCUGAUCCAGCCAUGCCGCGUGUGUGAAGAAGGUCUUCGGAUUGUAAAGCACUUUAAGUUGGGAGGAAGGGCAGUAAGUUAAUACCUUGCUGUUUUGACGUUACCAACAGAAUAAGCACCGGCUAACUUCGUG
rnacentral:rRNA from 1 species